UACGUAGGGGGCAAGCGUUGUCCGGAUUCAUUGGGCGUAAAGAGCUCGUAGGCGGCUUGGCAAGUCGGGUGUGAAAACUUCAGGCUCAACCUGGAGCGGCCACUCGAUACUGCCAUGGCUAGAGUCCGGUAGGGGACCACGGAAUUCCUGGUGUAGCGGUGAAAUGCGCAGAUAUCAGGAAGAACACCCGUGGCGAAGGCGGCUCUCUGGUACGUGACUGACGCUGAGACGCGAAAGCGUGGGGAGCAAACAGG
rnacentral:rRNA from 1 species